GAGCAGGGAAACACAAAGGGCCCUGGGAGGUCGGGAAGGAGGAGGGAGGUUGGAGAAGUAGUUGCAGGCAAGCAGGACACGUGAGGCUCUGAGAAACUAGAACAGGAGAGAGUUUCAAAUGGGAGGGAAUGGGCAGCAGUAGGAGGCCACAAGCAUCUUCCCUUGCAAGCUCAAUCAUGUAUUUUCCUAGUUCCUGGUCAAAGUCUGAGGACCUGGAGUUGUUUCCAUUUUUUGGCUUGCACAAAAAUAUUUUUGGUGAACAUCUUUUCUACCAUACGUGCAUAUCUGAACUUCUGUGUUCGAAGCAUAAGGGUGGCUGUGUGAAAGGGCCUAUCAUUCAAUCACACUCCACAGAUGUACCAGCUUUUUUUUUUCCCAACAAAAAGCAUGUAUUUGUGCCUGUCUUGCCACACCAUUGCCAGCAUUGAAUAUUAUAGUUUAAACUAACUGAUAAUUUUAUGGAUGAAAA